GGUUAUAGCUCAAUGGUAGAGCACCUGUCUUGCAUGCAUGAGGCCCUGAGUUCAGUCCCCAGCACCA
rnacentral:tRNA from 1 species